GGCAGUGUGGCCUAAUGGAUAAGGUGUCGGUCUCCUGAACCGAAGACUGAAGGUUCGAGUCUUGCAUCGGUCG
rnacentral:tRNA from 1 species